rnacentral:rRNA from 1 species
UAGGGAAUCUUCCGCAAUGGGCGAAAGCCUGACGGAGCAACGCCGCGUGAGUGAUGAAGGCCUUCGGAUCGUAAAACUCUGUUAUUAGGGAAGAACAAAUGUGUAAGUAACUAUGCACGUCUUGACGGUACCUAAUCAGAAAGCCACGGCUAACUACGUGCCAGCAGCCGCGGUAAUACGUAGGUGGCAAGCGUUAUCCGGAAUUAUUGGGCGUAAAGCGCGCGUAGGCGGUUUUUUAAGUCUGAUGUGAAAGCCCACGGCUCAACCGUGGAGGGUCAUUGGAAACUGGAAAACUUGAGUGCAGAAGAGGAAAGUGGAAUUCCAUGUGUAGCGGUGGAAUGCGCAGAGAUAUGGAGGAACACCAGUGGCGAAGGCGACUUUCUGGUCUGUAACUGACGCUGAUGUGCGAAAGCGUGGGGAUCAAACAGG